CUGUAUGGGAAGGAGCGGAGAGACAGAGCUGCUGCUUGAGGCCCGGGGAGCUCUGCAGAAGAGAGCCGGAGCUUCUGCAGGAAUUACCACCCACAGUCACACCGGAUCCUGCUCUGAUCUGGAGACGUUUACUGGCAAGAGGAGAGCUUCACUCUCUCUUCUCAACCUGUCUGCUGUGCAAGUACUCGUUAGACGCGGAGGUCACAUGACUGCUGAUUGGAAGCAAGUACAGAUGUGCUAACUGAGCAACUGUCACAGGGUGGGCGGGACCUCAUGGCAUGGGCCGGAGUGGCGGGAAGGGCUGCUGCUGAGCUGAAGAUGGAUAACCGUAAGAAACUUAAAAAGCUGAAGUCUCUGGAGGUGGAAGCUGCUAAAUGUUGGACAUUGACAGACCUAUUUGGUGCCGGGGUCACCACCCCAGCAGGUGCUGCUGCGCCGGGAGACGAGCGAGUGGAGGCAGACAUGGUUGACCACUUGACAUGUGAGAGCCUGAGGAGUUGUUCCCCCUCCGUCCACUUUUUGGUUACUGAGACGUCUCUGAUUUGUUGAGUUGACCACCCUAUAUAUGAGAGCCUAAGGAGUUGUUUUCCCUCUGUCCCCUUUUGAGGACCUGCUUUGUCUCCUCCAUCAUUCACUGGGUUAUUUCAUGUGGUGAGAGGAAUGCAAUAUGUGUAUGUUUAAAGGUUUAUAUGAAGAAACAUACUAUAUGUGUGAUAUUUUGUCAGGAUAUUUUGUUAUUAUUGUCCGAGUCUGGUUUUAACUAAUGCUGGGCUUACACCAAAAGAUUUUCACAGUCACAGACUAAAAACUGAAAGGGUAGCAUGAGGGUUCUUCCCGUUAGUCUCGUCCCACCCCUAGUCAUGACAUAACUUCUGUUGUGAUUUGACACUAUAAUGAUUAAAGACUGAUUGACUGAUUGCUAUAGCUGUCAGUUUUAGUCCUUGAGUUCAUAGUUACGUGUUUUAUUUGUUUACUGCUAUCAAGGAAUAUGACUCUCCUUUGUAGUAUGCAUGAGAGGAGAUGCUGCGAGAUUUUUGGACUUCUAUGUAGUGUCUGCUGAUAAUGUAGUGUAGUGCAUGUAGUUUAUGCAUUGCACGGUGUUGCUGUGUUAUUAUUUUAAGAUACAAAUUCAUCAUUUUGAGGAAGUUUCUCAUUAUAAUGACUUAGAUUCUUCUUUUUUCAUCACAUUGGCAGAAAUAAGCUUCCAUACAUAUUAAACAAACAGUGCAUUUCACAAUUAAAGAAGACAAAGUUAACAGAACUUUAGUUGAAGAAAGGUGAGUUUGAUUUGUUGGAUUUGAACUUUAAAUGUUGAUAACUAAUAAUAUUAUUUAUAUUGUGUUUUUACUCACACGAGAUGAAGCAAUAGUGGGAAACUAAAACCAUAAUAUGGGAAUAAAUCAGGAAUUAGUCACAGCCGAUGGGAUUAUUGAUCUUAUGUUAUUAACUGUAACUGUGCACACGUGACGCAGUACGCACACAGAAUGUAUGGUCACAUUUCUUGGUGGGUUUAAUUUCUUUUAUUUUGGUAAAUUGUUGAACCUUUCAACUGAAGGAGCUGCAUAACUUCCUGUGAGGUGUGUUUUCACCUAUGGACAGUAGGUGGCAGCGCUGUGGAAUAUUUCACAGUAUAUUUUAAUAUUCUAAUGUAUGAGUGUAAAACCAGAGAUUAGGAUGAAUUUCUAGCAGAUU